rnacentral:rRNA from 1 species
AUUGAACGCUGGCGGCAGGCUUAACACAUGCAAGUCGAGCGGGGUGAUGGUGCUUGCACUAUCACUUAGCGGCGGACGGGUGAGUAAUGCUUAGGAAUCUGCCUAUUAGUGGGGGACAACAUCUCGAAAGGUAUGCUAAUACCGCAUACGUCCUACGGGAGAAAGCAGGGGAUCACUUGUGACCUUGCGCUAAUAGAUGAGCCUAAGUCGGGUUAGCUAGUUGGUGGGGUAAAGGCCUACCAAGGCGACGAUCUGUAGCGGGUCUGAGAGGAUGAUCCGCCACACUGGGACUGGGACACGGCCCAGACUCCUACGGGGGGCAGCAGUGGGGAAUAUUGGACAAUUGGGGGAACCCUGAUCCAGCCAUGCCGCGUGUGUGAAGAAGGCCUUAUGGUUGUAAAGCACUUUAAGCGAGGAGGAGGCUCUUUUGGUUAAUACCCAAGAUGAGUGGACGUUACUCGAAGAAUAAGCACCGGCUAACUCUGUGCCAGCAGCCGCCGUAA